rnacentral:rRNA from 1 species
AUGUUUGGCAAAUAUUUCCAACUGUGGCUUCUUCCAUUCGACUAUCCCCUUGACUUAGUGAUCACCCUUGCAGAAUUUUGUCAAAACUUUGAAGAGGAAACCAGCCGACUGGAGCCGAACCUUGACCCCGUCAAUUCUCCGGUGAACGACGAAGUUGCCAUGGAUGUUUUCCGACUGGAGUCUCGUGUUGCAGCUGUCGUGGACUAUCUCGCAAGGCUGAAGGCCGCCACAUCUCGCAUCGACUCGACGCUCUGGCCUGAGGAGACACUUCAGAAUGACCUUGAGUCGCUGAUGGCCCGCUUGAACGCGAUCCCUGGUCGAGUGCAGGAGUGGAAGAAGUCCUCGGCUCAGUGUGGUGCAGAUGUCGCUCUGUGUCUGGCCCGAGUCCACUGCAAAGAUGCACGAGAGGAGAAGCUGGCGGCCCUUCGGGUGGCCAAUACCAAGAAGCACGACUUCAGGUCCUUUAUGGAGACUUUCCUUGCAGCUGCCACUCGGAUUGCCGACGGAAUUGACCUUGAUGAAUUUGUUGCACCUUCCAGCCCUCCCCAGGAGGGGUAA